rnacentral:lncRNA from 1 species
AUUUGGGGAACUAGCCUAGAAAAAGUUACUGGACCAAGCUCAAAUCCUCUGACCCCAAGAAUUGAAACUUACUUGCAGUAAGGGCCCCCUAGACCCGUCCUGCUGCUUCCUUCCUGAUUUCAGCUGUCCAAGAAGUGUAGGAUGUGAGGAGUGCCCGGGAACCUAACGAGGGGAGGUCAGAGAAUUGGCUGACUUUGGAAUCUGCCAGGGUCUGGGAGAAAAAUCCUUUCAGUACUGUUGGGGAGGGGGGAGCCAAGCCAGGAAUAAAGAGAGGAUCCGCGGCAAAGUAAGAGAAAAAAAAAUUAUUAACUGGAGGAGUUAAAGAACAGGGAAUGUUGGCUAGGAUUCCGGACUGGGAAAAAGGGUAAACAAAGGGGAAAGAUUGCAGAAUAAGAGAGAAAUAGAGCCAAUGGGGGCGAGAGGGGAGGAGGACUGAACGGACCCGAGAGUCAGGGCUCGACCAUUCUGAAUGGAGGGAGUGAAGUGUAAUGCCAAACCUGAGAAAGAAAGGGGGCAGAAAAGGAAGAAGUAGAAGAGAAUGAAAAAAAAAAGUAAAUCCAGUCGGAGAGAUAGGAAGAGAAAAGCAUCAAAGAAAGAAGAAAUAAGGAGAACAUCUGGGGAAGGAGAUGAAAAAGGAAACUGAACUGCACCCAAAAGGCUUAGUAAACUGUAAGACUCUCUGCCCUUUCAGCUAUGGCUCAAAUAAAACAACCGAACCUCCAGUAGAAGAGCAGGACCUUUCUUCUUGUGUUGCCUUUUUAUAGAAUGUGAGAAGUCCUGCCCGGACUAUGUGUUUGAAGACCUGGGUUCCAAUUCCUAUCAAACUACUAUCAAUGUGACUUUGGGACAAUCAUUUCUCUUCUCUGUACCUUAAUUAAAUUACUUGAUCUUUCAAAUGAUAAAGUUGGAUGACACUGUCUCUAAGUUCUCUUCUGGCUCUGAUGAUAUUGUGAUAUUUUAUUCAUUUGAAUCAUGUUAUUUCUCAAUAGUUUGGGUGUCAAAGUAGACUCAAGUAAAAAAUAAAAGAACAGCUUGGCCCCA